rnacentral:rRNA from 1 species
GACGAACGCUGGCGGCGUGCUUAACACAUGCAAGUCGAACGGUGAAGGGACCGGUUUUUGCUGGUUCUGGAUGAGUGGCGAACGGGUGAGUAACACGUGAGUAACCUGCCCCCUUCUUCUGGAUAACCGCAUGAAAGUGUGGCUAAUACGGGAUAUUCUGCGCCUGCUGCAUGGUGGGUGUGGGAAAGCUAUUGUUUCGGGGGGGGAUGGGCUCGCGGCCUAUCAGCUUGUUGGUGGGGUGAUGGCCUACCAAGGCGGUGACGGGUAGCCGGCCUGAGAGGGUGGCCGGUCUCACUGGGACUGAGGCACGGCCCCGCCUCGUCCGGGAGGCAGCAGUGGGGACUAUGGCACAAUGGGGGCGAGCCUGAUGCAGCGACGCCGCGUGAGGGAUGGAGGCCUUCGGGUUGUAAACCUCUUUCGCCAGUGAAGCAGGCCUGUCCCUUUUGUGGGUGGGUUGACGGUAGCUGGAUAAGAAGCGCCGGCUAACUACGUG